CCUACGGGAGGCUGCAGUAGGGAAUCUUCCACAAUGGGCGAAAGCCUGAUGGAGCAACGCCGCGUGGGUGAAGAAGGUCUUCGGAUCGUAAAACCCUGUUGUUAGAGAAGAAAGUGCGUGAGAGUAACUGUUCACGUUUCGACGAUAUCUAACCAGAAGGCCACGGCUAACUACGUGCCAGCAGCCGCGGUAAUACGUAGGUGGCAAGCGUUAUCCGGAUUGAGUGGGCGUAAAGGGAACGCAGGCGGUCUUUUAAGUCUGAUGUGAAAGCCUUCGGCUUAACCGGAGUAGUGCAUUGGAAACUGGGAGACUUGAGUGCAGAAGAGGAGAGUGGAAUUCUAUGUGUAGCGGUGAAAUGCGUAGAUAUAUGGAAGAACACUAGUGGCGAAAGCGGCUUUCUGGUCUGUAACUGACGCUGAGGUGCGAAAGCGUGGGUAGCAAACAGGAUUAGAUACCCGGGUAGUC
rnacentral:rRNA from 1 species